AGUGUCUUUUAAAAAGAGUCCAGAGAGGCUCAAAAGACAGGGUGACUAAUGAUAUAAAUAUGAUUAACUUUAAUUGUUCGAUUGUUAUCAGACGAAUCAUAUAAAAUAUUUUUAUAUACAUUAAACCUCAUGUCUUUGUAAAAGGCAUGAGGUUUUUUCU
rfam:Staphylococcus sp. HMSC078E07 Staphylococcus_spHMPREF2905-1.0_Cont825.1, whole genome shotgun sequence.